CGUUUGGGCUUACAGUUACAGAGAGGUUAGAGUCCACCUGUAAGACCCCCUUUCGGGGACCCCCACUCACUCUAGUCUCGGGAGUGUGAGAGCACCCAAAGAAACAUGAGGACCC
rnacentral:pre_miRNA from 7 species